rnacentral:rRNA from 1 species
AGACUUUUUAUUUGAUGCUUGCAUCUUUUAAAAAGUUGAGUCGGUAACGGGUGAGUAACACGUGGGUAACCUGCCUUAAAGUGGGGGAUAACACUUGGAAACAGGUGCUAAUACCGCAUAACCAUCAAAACCACCUGGUUUUGAUGUUAAAGAUGGUUCUGCUAUCGCUUUAAGAUGGACCCGCGGCGUAUUAGCUAGUUGGUGAGGUAACGGCUUACCAAGGCAAUGAUACGUAGCCGAACUGAGAGGUUGAUCGGCCACAUUGGGACUGAGACACGGCCCAAACUCCUACGGGAGGCAGCAGUAGGGAAUCUUCCACAAUGGACGAAAGUCUGAUGGAGCAACGCCGCGUGAGUGAAGAAGGUUUUCGGAUCGUAAAACUCUGUUGUCAGAGAAGAACGUGUGUGAGAGUAACUGUUCACGCAGUGACGGUAUCUGACCAGAAAGUCACGGCUAACUACGUGCCAGCAGCCGCGGUAAUACGUAGGUGGCAAGUGUUGUCCGGAUUUAUUGGGCGUAAAGGGAACGCAGGCGGUCUUUUAAGUCUGAUGUGAAAGCCUUCGGCUUAACCGAAGUCGGGCAUUGGAAACUGGGAGACUUGAGUGCAGAAGAGGAGAGUGGAACUCCAUGUGUAGCGGUGAAAUGCGUAGAUAUAUGGAAGAACACCAGUGGCGAAAGCGGCUCUCUGGUCUGUAACUGACGCUGAGGUUCGAAAGCGUGGGUAGCAAACAGGAUUAGAUACCCUGGCAGUCCACGCCGUAAACGAUGAA